GAAGAGAGAGUUCAAGAGUACGUGAAACUGCUCAGAGGUAAACGGGUGGGCCCUCGAAAUCCUGUGGCGGGAGGAUUCAGUCGGGAGGCGUGGACUCGGUGCCGGAGCCUAAAAGAGAAUGGAUCCCGAGACCGGGCCGUUCCGGUGCCGGGCUUCCGUGCCACCCGACGCAUUUGUUUCCCGUCCGAAGGACGCCGCAACCGGUUGGGAGACGGCCUUAAGGGCGAGAGCUGGCAGGUGGCCGGUGGCGUUCCCCCGUGUUCGUCGCCGGUUGUUAGCCGUCUCGUCGCACGGCUCGUGGCCCGACCGUGGUGUCGCGAGGCCCCUACAUGGGCCUCUCCGCCUCCUCCUGUAAAAGGUAGCGGGCAAGAACCCGGCAGGAGUUCGACCCCCUGCGGGCGCACGGACCGACUCCGUGGCCCAGCGUCGCGGUCGUCUUCGUUGGCCGGGACGGGCCCGUCGGAGUGUCGGCGGUUGGCGGCGAGUAGAUCGGUCACCCACCCGACCCGUCUUGAAACACGGACCAAGGAGUCUAACAUGUGUGCGAGUCAAUGGGUCUCGAAUAAGCCCAGAGGCGCAAUGAAAGCAAAGGCCGGACUCGACUCCGUGCCGCGUUGGGAUCCCCUCUCCUCCGCGGGAGGGGCGCACCAACGACCCGUCCUGUUCCACUUGUGGAUUGGGCGGAGUCCGAGCAUACACGUUGGGACCCGAAAGAUGGUGAACUAUGCCCGGGCAGGACGAGGCCAGAGGAAACUCUGGUGGAGGU
rnacentral:rRNA from 1 species